UCUGCAGAUGAAGAAUGAAGACAUAGUUGAGAUGACCACCUUAUUUGUACAAGCGUGUUGAGGCAUGUGAACAAGAAUCAGCAAUGGCCUACUGCCCUGUAGAAACUGCCUUAGGCCUAGUUCACCUUGAUUUAUGGAGAUGGCUUACUCAGAGAGGCAGUAUAUUGUACUCCGAAGAGCCCUGGCACUUGAAAUCUGGAGACCUGGGUCAAGAUGAUAAUUCAGGCACUACCUUCUACGUGGUAUUAUUUAAAGAGAGAAGACUCCCACCAGGACCACUGCAGUGAGGGAGGGACGUCCAAAAUGCAAUGAUUUGUGACUUCGACUUAAAGGAGGGUCCCUCAAACAGCUGACCUAUUCUUCACAACAGCUGGACUGGGAUCAGAAAUAAGAGUGUAAAUCCAAAUGGAGGGAGUUGGUGAUUAACAGUCAAGCCGCUUGGCCUCAUAGCUCUGUGCCUGUUACUACCGCUGCUUGCUGUGUGCACAUAAAGGUGAUCUUCAGAAUCUUCCUAAGACAAUUCAAACGGAAGCACUUCGGUUUCUUGGCAUAGCGCUGGUUUCAUGUUUCACAGGCAUGCAACAAUGAGGCACAUCGAGUACACAGGGUUGCUUUGCUUAAUCAUCUCUUCUUGAAGUUCCUCAACUCUCCUGCAAAGAAGUUCUCUGACUAUAGUUGUUUACCUAAAGCUUCUCAUAUCAUCAUUUGAAGUUCUCAGCAGCCACUAUGGCUCCUCCCGCAGCUCCCCAUGGCAUCCAGCAGGUGGUAUCCUCUGUCUUCCUCUGCAGCUCUCAACCAGCAGUAUCCUAGUACUAUAUUGAAGCUCCAUAAGUAAAACUUCCCCUCUGUUCCAUAGCUGGAGGAAGGACAAAAUUCC